CAGAGUUAAAAAAACUCCCAAACCCACUGUGAAUCUACCUGUACUUGUUCCUUCGGCAGGCGGCCCCCGGGGGGCUACGCCGCAAGGCGCCUGCCGAGGGAGAACUAAACUCUUGCUACUUAGUGUUCUCUGAGCAACUAUAAAAAAGUCA
rnacentral:misc_RNA from 1 species